rnacentral:misc_RNA from 1 species
UUUCCGUAGGUGAACCUGCGGAAGGAUCAUUACGUAUGGUCGGCCGGUCUGACCGGUUCUAUUCAACCCUGUUUUUUGCGCACCCUUUGUUUCCUCGGCAGGCUUGCCUGCCAGUAGGACCUUUUCAACCCUUCGUGUCAUAGCAAUCAGCGUCAAACAAACAAAACAAUGGUAACAACUUUCAACAACGGAUCUCUUGGUUCUG